AGUACGUGAAACUGCUUAGAGGUUAAGCCCGAUGAACCUGAAUAUCCGUUAUGGAAAAUUCAUCACUAAUAAUAUGAUAUUAUAAUAAUAUUAUAAAAAUAGUGUGCAAUUUUUCCAUAUAAGGACAUUGUAAUCUGUUAAUGUAAUAAAUAUUUAUCAAAAGAUCCAUUACAUUAAGUUUAUUUAAAUUAGUUAUUUUCGAAUUUCUAACAUAAAAUAAAAGUUUUGGAUUUGAUAAAUCAUUGACAGAUAUAAUUAUAUAAUGUGCUUAAAUUCUUCGGAAUUUUAUAAUGGUAAUUAAAUCUAUUGAUUUUUUUAUUUAAUUAUAUGCGCUAUUAUGAUUAACAAUGCGAUAGAUUCAGGAGACCUUCGGGACCCGUCUUGAAACACGGACCAAGGAGUCUAACAUAUGUGCAAGUCAUUGGGUAUUUUUAAUAAAACCCAAUGGCAUAAUUAACUUAACUGUUAUUUAAUUAAUGGGAUUAGUUUUAAUUUUGUUAUGAAAUUUUAAUUCAAUCCCGGGGCGUUCUAUAUAGUUAUGUAUGAUGGUAUAUAUUUAUAUGUAUUAUUUAUGCCUCUAACUAGAGC
rnacentral:rRNA from 1 species